CUCGGGACGUAGAAUAACGACAACAAUGAUAACGUAAUAGUAUAAUACUAAUCAUAAUAAAGUUUGAAAGAUAAAGAUUCUUAGAUAAAAAGGCGGACAUAUGAUAUGCUCUGUUGCUAUGACUACCUCUCUACACGUCACGGAACAAAAAGCUGGUCACUAAUCGAAGAAGACUAACGAACGAGAUGAGAUAUUCCUCCCUCAGUUAAAAUGUUAAACUCGCCGAAACAAGUAUCGUCUCGCUGAAACAGCGAAGUCCAAAGUGCCAAGUUGAUAGAGAGAGUCAGGAAUGUGUUGAGAUCCAAUUACACCUAAACUACCAAAGCCUCUAUGCCAUUGCUGACUUGUGCUGAUAUGCAAAAGUAACACGGAUUUUCUAUAACUAUUUGUGCCAUCCUCAAAGAAAUUCGAACACAGUAUUUUGUACAAGCGAAAUGGGUGUACGGCGUGAGGAACCAACAAAAGAAACCGUUACAUUUUCCGGCCAUGUCACUCCAGGAUGAGUUAUCAGUAAAGAGGCGUCACCCAUGAGCAUUACAGGUCAUUCUUUUUGUGU
rnacentral:lncRNA from 1 species